GAAAUGCUAGUAAAGAUAUUACACCGCCUUGUCAAGGCAGAAUCGUGGGUUAAACCCCUACGCAUCUCA
rnacentral:tRNA from 1 species